CCCGCUGAACUUAAGCAUAUCAAUAAGCGGAGGAAAAGAAACUAACAAGGAUUCCCCUAGUAACGGCGAGUGAAGCGGGAAGAGCUCAAAUUUGAAAUCUGAUGGUCUUUGGCCGUCCGAGUUGUAAUCUAGAGAGGUGUUUUCCGUGCCGGACCGCGUAAAAGUCCCUUGGAAUAGGGCGUCAUGGAGGGUGAGAAUCCCGUUCACGACGUGGACUACCGGUGCACUGCGAUACGCCUUCGAAGAGUCGAGUUGUUUGGGAAUGCAGCUCAAAAUGGGUGGUAAAUUCCAUCUAAAGCUAAAUACAGGCGAGAGACCGAUAGCGAACAAGUACCGUGAGGGAAAGAUGAAAAGAACUUUGGAAAGAGAGUUAAACAGUACGUGAAAUUGCUGAAAGGGAAACGCUUGAAGUCAGUCACGUUGACUUGGAAUCAGCUCUGCUUUUGCUGGGUGUACUUUCUUGUCAAUGGGUCAGCAUCAAUUUUGACCAUUGGAUAAAGUUGCUGGGAAUGUAGCAUUCUUUUGGAUGUGUUAUAGCCUGGUGAUGCAUACAGUGGUUGGGAUUGAGGAAUUCAGCACGCCACCAGGCCGGGUUUUGACCACGUUCGUGCUUAGGAUGCUGGCAUAAUGGCUUUAAUUGACCCGUCUUGAAACACGG
rnacentral:rRNA from 1 species